rnacentral:misc_RNA from 1 species
UCGUAGGUGACCUGCGGAAGGAUCAUUAAAGAAUACACUACACACUGGAUACGAUACCAACACAAAAAAUGUUAUUUUUUCAAUUUUACAAAAAUCAAAACUUUCAACAACGGAUCUCUUGGUUCUCGCAUCGAUGAAGAACGCAGCGAAUUGCGAUACGUAGUAUGACUUGCAGACGUGAAUCAUCGAAUCUUUGAACGCACAUUGCGCCUCGAGGUAUUCCUCGAGGCAUGCCUGUUUGAGCGUCGGCCCCCCUCUAACCCCUGGGUUAGGUGUUGACAACGAAAUUUCAAGCGCAUCAUUCUCACGUUUUUGAUGACGCCCACCCUUUCGCCCUCAAAUCAGGUAGGACUACCCGCUGAACUUAAGCAUAUCAAUAAGCGGAGGA